GUCUACAGCCAUGCUAUCCUGAACAAGCCCGAUCCCAUCUGAUCUCGGAAGCUAAGCAGGGUCGGGCCUGGUUAGUACUUGGAUGGGAGACCACCUAGGAAAACCAAGUGCUGUAGGCA
rnacentral:rRNA from 1 species